AUUGAACGCUGGCGGCAGGCCUAACACAUGCAAGUCGAGCGAGCGGCGGACGGGUGAGUAAUGUAUGGGGAUCUGCCCGAUAGAGGGGGAUAACUACUGUAAACGGUAGCUAAUCCCGCAUACUAUCGGAUGUACCCAUAUGGGAUUAGCUAGUAGUUGGGGUAAAGGCUCACCUAGGCGCCGAUCACUAGCUGGUCUGAGAGGAUGACCAGCCACACUGGAACUGAGAAACGGCCCAGACUCCUACGGGAGGCAGCAGUGGGGAAUAUUGCACAAUGGGCGCAAGCCUGAUGCAGCCAUGCCGCGUGUAUGAAGAAGGCCUUAGGGUUGUAAAGUACUUUCAGCGGGGAGGCGUUACCCGCAGAAGAAGCACCGGCUAACUCCGUGCCAGCAGCCGCGGUAAUUC
rnacentral:rRNA from 1 species